rnacentral:rRNA from 1 species
GACGAACGCUGGCGGCGUGCUUAACACAUGCAAGUCGAACGGAAAGGCCCUGCUUUUGUGGGGUGCUCGAGUGGCGAACGGGUGAGUAACACGUGAGUAACCUGCCCUUGACUUUGGGAUAACUUCAGGAAACUGGGGCUAAUACCGGAUAGGAGCUCCUGCUGCAUGGUGGGGGUUGGAAAGUUUCGGCGGUUGGGGAUGGACUCGCGGCUUAUCAGCUUGUUGGUGGGGUAGUGGCUUACCAAGGCUUUGACGGGUAGCCGGCCUGAGAGGGUGACCGGCCACAUUAGGACUGAGAUACGGCCCAGACUCCUACGGGAGGCAGCAGUGGCGAAUAUUGCACAAUGGGCGGAAGCCUGAUGCAGCAACGCCGCGUGCGGGAUGACGGCCUUCGGGUUGUAAACCGCUUUCGCCUGUGACGAAGCGUGAGUGACGGUAAUGGGUAAAGAAGCACCGGCUAACUACGUG